rnacentral:tRNA from 1 species
GCACCCAUAGCUCAAAUGGAUAGAGUGUUGGCCUCCGAAGCCAAAGGUUGCGGGUUCGAGCCCCGUUGGGUGCA